ensembl:snRNA U6 U6 spliceosomal RNA
GGUGUUUUCUUCAGUUACCAUGUGGAGUUGAGACAAUACAUAGAGGAUUAGUAUGGUCCUAGGCAAGGAUGACAGACAACAUUGUGAAAUGUUUCAUAGUUUU